GAUUUCCACUAAGACAGGCUUGAUCCUGAUGCCUCUUUUGUGCCUGUGAAUUUUCAAGCCCCAACUUGACGGAGUUGUAGAUUUCUUAUUUGGAAGCCUCCGGGAAGGUCGGAGCUGCCUCCUUCAUCAUCCACCUGAAAGUUUUUGUUACUGUGUGAUGUUGGGGGUGAUGCUGCUGGAGAAGUCAUUAAGGCAGGAGUGGUUCUUCCUCUUCAGAAGGCUCCUCUCUGAUGCUCCAGAUAAAUACAAGGGGGAGUUUCUUUUCUUCCUUGUAUUCUGAGUUGUGAGUGUGUGUACACACAUAUGGAGGCUAGAAGACAGCCUCAAGUGUCUCCUCAGAAGACAGUGUCAAGUGUCAUCUUCAGAAGACAACCUCAGCCCUGUGGAAGUGGAGACCAGAGGAUCCUGGAAGCUCACUGGCAAGCCAGCCUUUCGUCACAGGGCUGGCUUUUCAUUAUCCUGGAGCACACCAACGAGGUGAGGCUCAUGGAGAUUUUAGUGUUAGAAGAAGGGCCUUGGUUCCCACUCAGAUGUUUCCAAGGAUGCAGUGUUUCCUUUCAUCCUGAUGCUAGGUCAUAGGUUGGCCAGACUUGAGAAGCUUAGACUAUCAUAAAAAUUAAUGAC
rnacentral:lncRNA from 1 species